CUGGAGGUAUCAGAAGUGCGAAUGCUGACAUAAGUAACGAUAAAGCGGGUGAAAAGCCCGCUCGCCGGAAGACCAAGGGUUCCUGUCCAACGUUAAUCGGGGCAGGGUGAGUCGACCCCUAAGGCGAGGCCGAAAGGCGUAGUCGAUGGGAAACGGGUUAAUAUUCCCGUACUUGGUGUUACUGCGAAGGGGGGACGGAGAAGGCUAUGUUGGCCGGGCGACGGUUGUCCCGGUUUAAGCGUGUAGGUGUGUGUUCCAGGUAAAUCCGGUUCACUUUAACACUGAGGCGUGAUGACGAGGCACUACGGUGCUGAAGCAACAAAUGCCCUGCUUCCAGGAAAAGCCUCUAAGCAUCAGGUAACAUCAAAUCGUACCCCAAACCGACACAGGUGGUCAGGUAGAGAAUACCAAGGCGCUUGAGAGAACUCGGGUGAAGGAACUAGGCAAAAUGGUGCCGUAACUUCGGGAGAAGGCACGCUGACACGUAGGUGAAGUGAUUUACUCACGGAGCUGAAGUCAGUCGAA
rnacentral:rRNA from 1 species